AGGGAUUUAGCUCAGCGGCAUAAGCACCUGCCUUGCAAGCAGGCGUUCGUUUCAAUCCCUG
rnacentral:tRNA from 1 species